rnacentral:rRNA from 1 species
AACAAACGCUGGCGGCGUGUCUUAAGCAUGCAAGUCGAGCGGUAGGCGUAGCAAUACGCUGAGAGCGGCGGACUGGUGAGUAACGCGUGGAUGAUCUACCGUUAGGGCAUGGGGAUAGCCACUAGAAAUAGUGGGUAAUACCGAAUACGUUUGCACAGGUGAAGCUGUGUAAAGAAAGGAUCCUACGGGGUCGGCCUAACGAUGAGUCUGCGUCCCAUUAGCUAGUUGGUGAGGUAAAGGCCCACCAAGGCGAUGAUGGGUAGCCGGCCUGAGAGGGUGUACGGCCACACUGGGACUGAGAUACGGCCCAGACUCCUACGGGAGGCAGCAGCUAAGAAUAUUCCGCAAUGGGCGAAAGUCUGACGGAGCGACGCCGCGUGGACGACGAAGGCCGAAAGGUUGUAAAGUCCUUUUGCCGAUGAAGAAUAAGUGGGGGAGGGAAUGCCCUCACGAUGACGUUAGUCGGUGAAUAAGCCCCGGCUAAUUACGUG